GUGAUAUUCUAUAAAACUAGAAGCUAUCUAGACAGUACUUCAACAGAAAGCUGGAUAGAGACACUCCGUCACAUCAAGCUACGAGAAAGUAUAUCAUCUCACAGACUUCUGCUCGAAUACCGCAUCGAAAUCAGACAUUGAAAAUGGCGUCAAAAACCAUGAUUGCUCUCUACUUUCUGAUUGCCUUGGCCGUGGCAGCAAGUGUUUCAGUCCAGGAAGAUGAGAUCGACGAUUCCAAUGCGUUGAGUGUCGAGAAGAACCAGAUCAGCAUAGAGGAGGAGGCUGUAUGUACUCCCCCCUUGACUCAACAUCAAAGAAUGAUAUGUGAGGGUGCAAAUGUUAAUGGGAAAUAAGCGCAUCGAGAAGUUCGAAAAGCAUACUAGCUGGAUCUUUUUCAUUUGCCUGUGGUCAGACGUCGUCUUUGUUUGUUGAGACUUUUUUCAAAUUGAUGCGAGAAAAAAAAAAUCAUCGAUGAUCAGUCAUCACUGACCUUAAAUCCUAACCCCAAAGAAUUAAUAACAUUGCCUCUAAAAUAUUAAAAAAAUCAAUAAAUAUAUAUAAUCCAUUUUGAAUCUCGUUUCAAAAGUAAGGAAUCAAUAUGCCUACAUGUAGCCCAAUAUAGUUUUGAGUUGACAACUGGUUAGUAAAUUCACUGGAAAUUUGAUUGCUUGAUAUAAUGCAUUGAAGAGUACAAUCUUGUACAUGUGCUUCAUAUGUACUAUAGAGGAACACGUGCAGUGGAAACCAUUGAGGUGAAUACAUUAAUAGAAAUCAAUGAUCUAAACAGUAUGUUCCGAUUGUAAAUUGUCAAAUUUUUAAUCAGCUGCUUUAUUCUCUGACACACUGUGCACAAAACGGUCUCAUUAAAUAGAAUGACGUAAUAA